UAAAUGGAAUUAAUAGAAAAGAGUAGUAGCUAUAUCAAUUCCAUAAGAUAAGCAUCCAUGGUUGUCUUAAAGGAGAGAGAAAAUAAGGGAUUGUAAAGAAUACAAGCAAUUGAGAUGGAUUUAGAAACACUUUACGAUGCAUGAGAGAGAUACAAGGACUUACUGAGAAGGUGCCCUCACCAUGGGUUACCGCUUUGGCUUCAAGUGCAAACAUUCCACAAUGGACUGAAUCCCUCAACUCGGCAAAUGGUUGACGCGGCUGCUGGCGGAACCAUCAACAAUAAAACACCGGAAGAUGCCUAUGAGUUUAUAGAGGAGAUGUAACUGAAUAACUAUUAGUGGCAAGUUAUGAGGACAAAGCCAAUGAAAACAGCCGGCAUUUAUAAUGUACAUCCAGUAAUGAGGUGUGACGCGAGUGGAGGAGGUGUGCAUACAGAAUAUCAAUCCUUCAAUCCCACAAUCGAAGAGGAACA